CUGCCCACAGGGUGCCAAAGUGCUUAUAGUGCAGGUAGUUGAUCUUAGUCUACUGCAUUUUGAGCACUUGUAGCACCAGGUGUGGAAAAAC
ensembl:miRNA pma-mir-20a pma-mir-20a